CCGAGUUCUCACCCGUGCGGGUAGACCUCCCACCCACUGCUAUCGCUACCGUGUUGCUUUGGCGGGCCGCUAGGCCCUGCCUGGCCGCUGGCCCCGGCUGGCGCGCGCCCGCCAGAGGCUCCGCAAACUCUGAACGUUAGUGUCGUCUGAGGGAUUUAUAACAGUGA
rnacentral:misc_RNA from 1 species